CCAUUUUCCAUAAUGAGAGCCUGAACAAUUUCACCUACAUGGUUUAAAUCCUUCAAGGAGCAGGAGGAUUUAGAACCACAGCUGUAUUUCUGUCCGCUUCCCUCACUCCCCCUUAUACACGAGAACCCCAGAGAAGCCCAAAGGAGGGGAGCGGGCAGAUGUCUUCGCUGGACUGCAGCUGCCUGGCAAAGCCCAGCUGAUCAGGUUCCUGCUAUUAUUUCUGCAGGAAUCUGUGCCCUAAAGAGCAAUUCCAAGGCAAGCCUCCAGGCUGGAUCCUGGCCAGGCUUCAUGUUGCAGUGUUAAAGGGGCAAGUUCAGUUCAGGGUGGGGACCUUUUUGCUUUGCUCUGUGUUUAAAUCUGGAGUAUUUUGCACUGCACAACUGUUUGAACCCCCAGGCAUGCUGCAAUGAGAAAAGGAUGAAAUAGAGGAAGGCAGCGGAGAAGUAACAGAAAUUCAGCAGUAAAGUAGCAGAUGGGUUCCAGCAGAGUUCUGCUUUGAUUUAUGUCCAGCCAAGCACAUCAGGCCCAGGUUUGGGGCCCGGAGGAGUCCAAACCAGAAGCUGUCUGAGGAGCUCCUCACCAAGAGAGGAGCAGCUGAAUCACCAGGUGCUCGCUGCAGGGAGAAGGAGCUGGGCACAAUGUGAACACAGACAUCUCCAGACACCUGGAUACAGAAAUGGCUCCACUCCACUCCCACAAGCACCCUAUGUGAAUCCAGGAGCAGUCUGUCAGUACCCUUUGUGUUUCUGGCCUGUUUAUAGUAGCCUAAAUGAAUCCUUAGUAAAGGCGGCUGAACAGGAUAGCGCCUGCAUUUUUUUUCACAACAAGAACCAAUUUUAUAUCCUCAAACAGUAGAGAUAAUUCUGUCUGAUGGAGCACUUUAUGAAAAUGGCUUAUCAUUUCAUAGAGAUAAAGAAGAUGUGAAAUGCCAUUUAAAAAUCACAGUACCACGAACAAGGCUGGAUUAAAGAAAAAGUAUGGGGUGAGAAAGAUCAGUUUGAGGGAUAAAGCCUUUAUACUAAAAGCUUUAAAAACACACCAUAUACAUCAUUAAAAAAAAAUAAAAAACAGGGCCAGAAGAGGCCUGAGAAAUCAGGAUGUACAUCCCUGUGCUUUAAGGACUGAUUGCACAUCAUUUCUGACAGAUAUUUCUUAAACCUAUUUUUAAAAGCUUGGGUGUCAGCUUUCACCAUCUUCAGGCAACCACUUCCCACAUUUCUCUCUCCUUUUCCUGAGACAGUAUUUCCUAAUACUCCUUUUCUACUGAAACAUCUUGCUAAAGCUCCUUUAUGGAUUUUUUCUGGAUGUAAACCCAUUAAUUCUUGCCUUAGCACCAGUGGAUGUAUAAUAAAACCAUAUUGCUUUUCAUUCUGCCCUAUCCUCCUGCUUGUCUGAAGGUUAGCAUCGCAUUUCCCUUCAUUUCUCAAAGGAAAGAGAACAACUUGCUUUCUUUAUCUUUCCAUGCAUUUUAAGCACUUCUCCCAUCAUCCUUGUGGCCAAGGAAACAGAUCUCCAGUUGAUCCAAUCCUUCUUUACUUCAAGUGUUUAACACUGAACACACUGUAGCUAAGGACUCAAUGGCAGGAUCAUCUCCCAGCAUACAUACACCUUGUGCUGCUGGUCCCCCAGCAUUUGAGGGGAGCAACUCUGGCCUUUUUUAUCCUUUAGCUCACCAAACGAGAGCCUUCCCAAUGAAAACCAUUACCUUCCCCCGCUGCAAAUCACAGCUUCCAAGAAGGGAUCCAUAGGUUGUGGCCAUCUGGCACUAUAUCAGUAGCAAAGAUGUUUGAAGUCUUUACCCAUUCCGUAGCUCAUUCACUAAACCACUAGCUCCUCGCACACUAUUAGUAUGGGGACAGGCAAUUUUCAUACGCCAGGAUUAAAGUGGUUACAAACACAGUUACAGAUGGCUGAUGGUCUUCUGUUCUAACACACUAAAGGUGCAGCCUUCAGCCUGCAGCACAGCGCAGUGCAGCUGAGCAGCUCCAGGCAGGAC
ensembl:lncRNA